UACGUAGGGUGCGAGCGAUAAUCGGAAUUACUGGCGUAAAGCGUGCGUAGGCGGUCCGCGAAGUCUGAUGUGAAAGCCCCGGGCUCAACCUGGGAACUGCAUUGGAAACUAACGGGCUCGAGUGUGGCAGAGGGGGGUGGAAUUCCACGUGUAGCAGUGAAAUGCGUAGAGAUGUGGAGGAACACCGAUGGCGAAGGCAGCCCCCUGGGCUAACACUGACGCUCAGGCACGAAAGCGUGGGGAGCAAACAGG
rnacentral:rRNA from 1 species